UGGGGAAUUUUGGACAAUGGGGGAAACCCUGAUCCAGCCAUCCCGCGUGUGCGAUGAAGGCCUUCGGGUUGUAAAGCACUUUUGGCAGGAAAGAAACGUCCUGGGUUAAUACCCCGUGAAACUGACGGUACUUGCAGAAUAAGCACCGGCUAACUACGUGCCAGCAGCCGCGGUAAUCCGUAGGGUGCAAGUGUUAAUCGGAAUUACUGGGCGUAAAGCGUGCGCAGGCGGUUCGGAAAGUAAGAUGUGAAAUCCCAGAGCUCAACUUUGGAACUGCAUUUUUAACUACCGGGCUAGAGUGUGUCAGAGGGAGUUGGAAUUCCGCGUGUAGCAGUGAAAUGCGUAGAUAUGCGGAGGAACACCGAUGGCGAAGGCAGCCUCCUGGAAUAACACUGACGCUCAUGCACGAAAGCGUGGGGAGCAAACAGG
rnacentral:rRNA from 1 species